AUGGCUCUGGGGUCCCCAUUGUGCCCAGUGAGCUCCCAGCGCCGUCAUCCCCUUCUUUCCCCCACAUCCAUCCUACCACCACAGCCCGUCCACCUCCACCCACCCAUCCGUCCUACUCAUCUUCCUCACCCAUCCUCUCCACCCCCUCCACACCCCAUCCAUCCACCUUCUCCAUCCACCCAUCCGCCUUCGUUAUUCAUCGUACCCACCCAUCCAUCAUCCCAUCCAUCCAAUCACCAUCCAUCCAUCCAUCUGUCCAUCAUCCAUCUGUCCAUCCUCCCAUCCAUCCAUCCAUCCAUCCAUCCAUCUGUCCAUCAUCCAUCUGUCCAUCCUCCCAUCCAUCCAUCCAUCCAUCCAUCCAUCUGUCCAUCAUCCAUCUGUUCAUCAUCCAUCCAUCCAUCCAUCCAUCCAUCCAUCCAUCCAUCCAUCCUCCCAUUCUCCCAUCCAUCUGUCCGUCCAUCCAUCCAUCCAUCCGUCCUUCCAUCUGUCCUCCCAUCCAGUCCUCCACCCACCCAGUCCUUCCAGCCAUGCACCUUUCUGUUUUCUCCAUCCAUCUUGUCCACCCAUUCUACCACCUUUCUCCGCCUUAGUCCUUCUCCACCCACCAGCCUUCUCCAUCCCUCCAAUCCAUCCAUCCUCCGCCCUUCUCCUCCACCCUGCACUCCUCUAUUCCUCUCUGUCCCUCGCUAUUCUCCAUUCUUCACCCUUCUCCUUCACCCCCCACUUUUCUCCACCCAUUCUUCCUCCUUCUCCAUCCAUCCAUCAUCUUCUUCUCCACCCCUGUCAUUGUCUCCAUCCAUCUUCUCCAUCCUUUCCCCUUCUCCAUCCUUCUGUUUUCUCCAUCCAUCCAAUCCAUCCAUCUUUCAUUCUUCUUCAUCCAACCUUCUGUCUUCUCCAUUCUCCAGCCUUCUCCAUCUCUUCUCUAUCCUUUGCUCUUCUCCUCCAUCCUUCACUCUUCUCCAUCCAUCCAAUCCUUCCACUCAUCCAAUCCUUCAAUCCUUUCAUCAUCUCCAUUCUUCUGUUAUCAUCCCAUCCUUUGACUUUCUGCACCCAUCCGACUUACCCAGCCUUCAUUCUUCUUCAUCCAACGUUCCGUCAUCUCCAUCCUUUUCCCUUCUCCAUCCGUUCAAUCCUUCCAACUUUCCCCUUUCUCCAUCCAUCCAAUCCCUCCAACCUUCAUUCAUCUCUAUCCAUCCAAUCCCUCCAAUCUUCAUUCUUCUUCCUCCAACCUUCCAUCAUCUCCAGUCUUCGCCCUUCUCCAUCCAUCCAAUCCUUCCGUCCUUUUCCCUGCUCCAUCCAAUGAAAGUUGGAUAA
rnacentral:lncRNA from 1 species